AUGGAAAAUUGCAUUUUUGGAAUUUGCAAUAAUGCGAUGGGCGAACGACGGGAAUUGAACCCGCGCAUGGUGGAUUCACAAUCCACUGCCUUGAUCCACGCUACAUCCGCCCCUUAUCCAGCUAAAGGAUUUUUUUCUUUUUUCCAUUGA
rnacentral:tRNA from 1 species